AACGAACGCUGGCGGCAGGCCUAACACAUGCAAGUCGAGCGGCAGCGGGUCCUUCGGGAUGCCGGCGAGCGGCGGACGGGUGAGGAAUGCGUCGGAAUCUGCCUUUUUGUGGGGGAUAACGUAGGGAAACUUACGCUAAUACCGCAUACGACCUACGGGUGAAAGUGGGGGACCGCAAGGCCUCACGCAGAAAGAUGAGCCGACGCCGGAUUAGCUAGUUGGCGGGGUAAAGGCCCACCAAGGCGACGAUCCGUAGCUGGUCUGAGAGGAUGAUCAGCCACACUGGAACUGAGACACGGUCCAGACUCCUACGGGAGGCAGCAGUGGGGAAUAUUGGACAAUGGGCGCAAGCCUGAUCCAGCCAUGCCGCGUGUGUGAAGAAGGCCUUCGGGUUGUAAAGCACUUUUGUCCGGAAAGAAAUCCAAUCGAUUAAUACUCGGUUGGGAUGACGGUACCGGAAGAAUAAGCACCGGCUAACUUCGUGCCAGCAGCCGCGGUAACAC
rnacentral:rRNA from 1 species